rnacentral:rRNA from 1 species
AGGGCGCUAAAUGGAUGCCUAGACGUAUAUUACCGAUGAAGGACGUGGAAGACUGCGAUAAGCUUCGGGAAGCUGUCAACAAGCUUUGAUCCGGAGAUCUCCGAAUGGGGAAACCCAGCAUGAGUCAUGUCAUGUUGCCACUUGCUGAACACAUAGGCAAGCGAGCGGGAACCAUCUGAACUGAAACAUCUUAGUAGGAUGAGGAAGAGAAAGUAAAUAACGAUUGCGAAAGUAGUGGCGAGCGAAAUCGCAACAGCCCAAACCUUUUAAGUUUUUGCCUAUUAAUUUAGGCAAAUAAGUUGAUAGACGAAUACUUAUAAGGGGUUGUGAUAUUACAUAUGACCAAGUCAGAGAAUUUGAUUCAUUCAAAUAAUCUGAUUUGCGAUAACUGGCUAUCAACAGUUAGUAAGGUAAGAAAUCGGCGUGGUUAGUAGAAUAGUUUGAAUGACUAGCCAAAGAACGUGAAAGCCGUGUAUAUGAAAACGACGCUGACCUUAUGUAUGUUUUAUCGAGUAGGACGGGGCACGAGAAACCCUGUUUGAAUCUGGCUGGACCACCAGCCAAGGCUAAAUAUAAUAUACGAUCGAUAGUGAACUAGUACAGUGAUGGAAAGGUGAAAAGAACCCCGGGAGGGGAGUGAAAUAGAUCCUGAAAUUUAGUGCCUACAAGGAGUCGGAGCCGGCUUGUCCGGUGACGGCGUGCUUUUUGUAGAACGAUCCAGCGAGUUAAUUUUUACAGCGAGGUUAAGUCAAUUGACGGAGCCACAGUGAAAGCGAGCCUGAAUAGGGCGAUUAAGUUGUAAGGAUUAGACCCGAAACCGGGUGACCUAACCAUGAGCAGGUUGAAGCCACUGUAACAGGUGGUGGAGGACCGAACCAGGAUACGCAGCAAAGUGUUUGGAUGACUUGUGGUUAGCGGUGAAAUGCCAAUCGAACUCGGAGAUAGCUGGUUCUCCUCGAAAUAGCUUUAGGGCUAGCGUCGUGUUAGUAGCACAUGGGGGUAGAGCUCUGUAAAGGACUGGGGCGGGCAACUGUACCCACCCUUAACAAACUACGAAUACCAUGUGUGUAAUCACGGCAGUUAGAACAUCGGUGCUAAGAUCGGUGCUCAAAAGGGAAACAGCCCAGACCAUCAUCUAAGGUCCCUAAAUUAACGUUCAGUGGGAAACAAGGUGAGAUUUCUUAAACAGCUAGGAUGUUGGCUUAGAAGCAGCCAUUCAUUUAAAGAGUGCGUAACAGCUCACUAGUCAAGAGAUCUUGCGUGGAAAAUGUAACGGGGCUAAAACGUUAUACCGAAGAUAUGGAUGUCAGAUUUAUCUGGCGUGGUAGAGGAGCGUUCCUAUCAGCGGUGAAGUCGAAUCGGAAGGUUCGGUGGAGCGGUAGGAAGUGAGAAUGCUGGAAUGAGUAACCAUAAGAGAGGUGAGAAUCCUCUCGGCCGUAAGAGCAAGGUUUCCUGAGCCAUGGUAAUCAUCUCAGGGUUAGUCGGGCCUAAGCCGAGGCGCAGAGCGUAGGCGAUGGACAUCAGGUUAAUAUUCCUGAACCGGUUAAGUUUUGUACACUGUUCACGGGGAAGUAAUCGAAGCGGAUUCAUGGUUUAUCCGUCCAACCGAGCGGGAACGCAAAGGGAGUGAAAGUGAUUCUUCGGAGUCGCGAUUUUGGUGAAAGCCCUGGCUAGAAAAGCAGGUGUACGUGUGGACUUAGCCGCCCGUACCGCAAACCAACACAGGUGCUCGAGUCGAGUAGACUCAGGCUUACGAGCGAACCUUCGCUAAGGAACUCGGCAAUACAGCGACCGUAACUUCGGGAUAAGGUCUGCCCCCACUUCGGUGGAUAUCAGCCGCGUUCACUCAGUGAAUAUUAGGUUAAAGAGUACAUUUUUAAUCACAAAACGAAUUUUCUGAGAUAGAGCAAACGAAUUGUUCUUUUGAACGCGAACCUCUGACGUCUAACGAUGUGGGGGCCGCAGCAAAAGAGCCCACGGAACUGUUUAUCAAAAACACAGGUCUCUGCUAACACGAAAGUGGAUGUAUAGGGGCUGACUCCUGCCCAAUGCUGGAAGGUUAAGGGGAGCGCUUCACGGUGCGAACUGAAGCCCUAGUCAAUGGCGGCGGUAACUAUAACCGUCCUAAGGUAGCGAAAUUCCUUGUCAGGUAAGUUCUGACCCGCACGAAUGGAGUAAUCAUGUGGGCACUGUCUCAGCGAAGGACUCGGUGAAAGUGCAUUGGCGGUAAAGAUGCCGUCUGUCCGUACCAGGACGAAAAGACCCCAUGGAGCUUUACUACAGCUUUACAUUGAAUAUGGUUUCAACAUGUGUAGCAUAGGUGGGAGACUUUGAAACAGAUACGCCAGUAUUUGUGGAGUCACCAAGUGAAAUACCACCCUUGUUGUGAUUGUGUUCUCACGCUGACCGUUAUCCGGUUAGCGGACCGUGUAUGGUGGGUAGUUUAACUGGGGCGGUUGCCUCCUAAAGAGUAGCGGAGGCGUUCAAAGGUUGGCUAACUUCGGAUGGAAAUCGAAGUGAU